ACCAGAAAAAUUGUAGCAAUUAUGUUUAGUCUGUAUAUUUUGAUGCGAAAAGUCUGUGCGAAAAUUGUAAAUCACCCCCCGCUACCACGCAAACGUCAAACUUUGCUUGCUUGAAAACAAAGCUUGCCUUGACUGUGCGCGCUCACUUCCGCUGAAAAAAGGGAGAGUCAUUCGGUGGACGCCAACGUGAAGAACGGUCGUGCGGUGGACGAGGUUCCACUCGGUGAUACACGCUGACCGCGUGCGCGUGUGUUCUGUCCCGUGAAAAGUGGUCGCCCCGCCGUCAAGUCGUGCUGCUGUCGUGCGCCUUCGGGUGGAAAAAAGGAUUGUGCCCAGACGCACACGUUCGGCGCAAAAACUAAGCCACCGCAGCCGACUCCAGUCCGAAUCGACUUCGUUCCGAUAACGCACACACACACAUCAUCGUCGGGACGGUAGAAGGCCCCGAACAGGGGCCUUUUUUGUGCGUACUCGAACCGCCCAGGAACUUCGAAGCCGGAAUCUCAUCGUCUGCGUACGGUCUGCGGGAACAACAAGAUGGCGGUCAAAAUGCGGGCGAGAAUCGCACGAGACAGCCAGGACUUCAACGCGGCCGGGAUCAGGGCAAACGGCCGGGGCAGUUGUCGUGGGCAGCGGCAGCAGGGCGGUCGGUGAUGGCGGAGAAAAAACAUCGCCGCGAGGCGGCGGACGCCGGCGCAGCGGCUGGCGAUCGAAGGGGAUCCUGGCAAGGUCUUGCGGAGGAGGAGAAGUGAGUAGAGCGGGGAAAAGAAAAAGAAGGAAGAAGAAGAAGGAAAAAGAAAAGGGCUAGUAGCCGAAAAGGCGCGCGGAGCGCGGGAAAAGGAGAAGAGCACAGGGGAAGUUUGAAGAAGAGGGAAGGAAGAGUUGUACGAACAAACACACACACAAACACCAACACGUUCGAUAUGUUUGAAUACACAUGAAAACUAGAUCACGGGUUUGCCUUUCUUUUUGAGCUCUAGAGAGCAGCUGGGAUGUCAUUGCGAUUCCCUUUUUAUUGUAACAUGGCGCCCAACAAAACGAACCCAAUCUGGAAAUGUAGUUAGUUUCUGUUAAGUGUGUGUGCUUUUGAGUUGCUACUGUAGACAAGCUAUGACAGCAGUGGGAGUAGGCUGUGAACAAGAAGAAAACAAAAAAAAAACGCAAGGCGGUAACAGUAAGGGGUUGAAGCCAGUUGUAGGCAAUUGGUUGUCAGGCUCGUAGGAGAGGCAGCCAUUGUGGGAGUAAGCUGGAGACGUUUUGGGUCAUGCAGGAGAUGACCAUCUGACCACCUGUCUGAGCAGAUUGCGCUGCUGUGUAUCGUUUAGUACCGUUAUGUUUCGAUCAACAUGAUCUGGGGAGCCUUGGGCUUCCACACUUAGUUUGUUUUGAGUUUUUGGUAGUUUAAGUAUGUGGCAUAGGUCACGGGUCAGGCGGUCUCCAGCGAGCUUCUGGCGGAAGUUGUUUUGAGAAUUUUCCGUGUGGGACUGCCAUCCCACACGGAAAAUUCUUCCCAAAUGGCAGGGUUGUGUAGCAAUUAUGUUUAGUCUGUAUAUUUUGAUGCGAAAAGUCUGUGCGAAAAUUGUAAAUCACCCCCCGCUACCACGCAAACGUCAAACUUUGCUUGCUUGAAAACAAAGCUUGCCUUGACUGUGCGCGCUCACUUCCGCUGAAAAAAGGGAGAGUCAUUCGGUGGACGCCAACGUGAAGAACGGUCGUGCGGUGGACGAGGUUCCACUCGGUGAUUCACGCUGACCGCGUGCGCGUGUGUUCUGUCCCGUGAAAAGUGGUCGCCCCGCCGUCAAGUCGUGCUGCUGUCGUGCGCCUUCGGGUGGAAAAAAGGAUUGUGCCCAGACGCACACGUUCGGCGCAAAAACUAAGCCACCGCAGCCGACUCCAGUCCGAAUCGACUUCGUUCCGAUAACGCACACACACACAUCAUCGUCGGGACGGUAGAAGGCCCCGAACAGGGGCCUUUUUUGUGCGUACUCGAACCGCCCAGGAACUUCGAAGCCGGAAUCUCAUCGUCUGCGUACGGUCUGCGGGAACAACAAGAUGGCGGUCAAAAUGCGGGCGAGAAUCGCACGAGACAGCCAGGACUUCAACGCGGCCGGGAUCAGGGCAAACGGCCGGGGCAGUUGUCGUGGGCAGCGGCAGCAGGGCGGUCGGUGAUGGCGGAGAAAAAACAUCGCCGCGAGGCGGCGGACGCCGGCGCAGCGGCUGGCGAUCGAAGGGGAUCCUGGCAAGGUCUUGCGGAGGAGGAGAAGUGAGUAGAGCGGGGAAAAGAAAAAGAAGGAAGAAGAAGAAGGAAAAAGAAAAGGGCUAGUAGCCGAAAAGGCGCGCGGAGCGCGGGAAAAGGAGAAGAGCACAGGGGAAGUUUGAAGAAGAGGGAAGGAAGAGUUGUACGAACAAACACACACACAAACACCAACACGUUCGAUAUGUUUGAAUACACAUGAAAACUAGA